AAGCAAAAAGUGAAAAUUCACCUACGGUUUCGACCCGUAACUUGAUGGAAAUAAUCUGUCUUUGCCUU
rnacentral:tRNA from 1 species